rnacentral:rRNA from 1 species
AUUGAACGCUGGCGGCAAGCCUAACACAUGCAAGUCGAACGAGUGGCGGACGGGUGAGUAAUGUCUGGGAAACUGCCUGAUGGAGGGGGAUAACUACUGGAAACGGUAGCUAAUACCGCAUACCAUCGGAUGUGCCCAGAUGGGAUUAGCUAGUAGGUGGGGUAAAGGCUCACCUAGGCAACGAUCCCUAGCUGGUCUGAGAGGAUGACCAGCCACACUGGAGCUGCGACACGGUCCAGACUCCUACGGAAGGGAGGAGUAGGGAAUUUUGCACAAUGAGCGCAAGCCUGAUGCAGCCAUGCCGCGUGUAUGGAGAAGGCAUUCGGGUUGAAAAGUACUUUCGACGGGGAGGCAUUACCCGCAGAAGAGGCACCGGCUAACUCCGUGCCAGCAGCCGCGGUGAUAC